CAGGAGCCCAGGAACAGAUCCAAGACCUGAAACACAAGGAGAGUGGAAAGAAAGCAUUGUGAAAUCUGGAGGGAACCUACAAGUUUCCACGCCAGCUGUGAUGGAUGCUUACAAGCGGAUUAAGCUUCUGGAUUCAUCGCCAGUGCUCCUGUGUGGCAGGUGCUGUUAUGUGCAAUCACACAGUGGCACUGCUCUUCCAAACAGCACACUACUCACAACUCAGAGUGCCGGUUGUCCCCUGUGCAUAGCUGCACCGAAUCUGAACAGCAAUGGCACAAGCCACGGACAGUGGGUGUGAAGCCAGGACCUAUCAACUCUAUGAUCUUCACUAAGCCGGUACCA
ensembl:lncRNA